AGUGAACGCUGGCGGUAGGCCUAACACAUGCAAGUCGAACGGCAGCACAGUAAGAGCUUGCUCUUACGGGUGGCGAGUGGCGGACGGGUGAGGAAUACAUCGGAAUCUACUUUUUCGUGGGGGAUAAUGUAGGGAAACUUACGCUAAUACCGCAUACGACCUACGGGUGAAAGCAGGGGAUCUUCGGACCUUGCGCGAUUGAAUGAGCCGAUGUCGGAUUAGCUAGUUGGCGGGGUAAAGGCCCACCAAGGCGACGAUCCGUAGCUGGUCUGAGAGGAUGAUCAGCCACACUGGAACUGCGACACGGUCCAGACUCCUACGGGAGGCAGCAGUGGGGAAUAUUGGACAAUGGGCGCAAGCCUGAUCCAGCCAUACCGCGUGGGUGAAGAAGGCCUUCGGGUUGUAAAGCCCUUUUGUUGGGAAAGAAAAGCAGCAGGUUAAUACCCCGCUGUUCUGACGGUACCCAAAGAAUAAGCACCGGCUAACUUCGUG
rnacentral:rRNA from 1 species